rnacentral:lncRNA from 1 species
GGAAGCUACUCACUUUGGCCUUUGAUCGGCGUUGCUGUUGUUGAGCCGAGGGUGGGACGUUUUUGUGGGUAACUUUUUAACGUGUGCGUGAUUUCGGGAUAUAUGUGCGUGGUUGUUUUCUGGAAAUGUUGAAUGAUAGGCACGCAGAGUAAGAAUGGGUGUGGCAGGGCUUAUUGAUUAGCAUUAAAUUCAGGUGUUGGGUGUAGCGAAGUGGAGAUGGGGAUGCGGUGUUUGUUGAUUGGUCGAUUGGCUCUCUGUGUUGACGUCGUAUCUGACCUUGGGUCCAUGUGUUUCUUGCUCUUCAUUUCAUAAACGAGCUUCUUCACCAUGGGCGUGUGUUUGGGGCUCGAGUCUGGACGACUUCACGACUCCAUGUUAAGGAUCGAGGUGGUCGGUUCUGCUUGAAGCAUUCGGUUUUACUUCAUAUGGAAAGCGCCAAUCUGUCUUUGAUUACUGACUGACCCGCACAUUCUUAAAAAAAAAUUGCUUCCCCCAAGACAAGGAUGCAGUACACGUCCGUGACGAAUGUGGGUUUUUGCGUCACCCACGCAGUCGCACAAGUAGGGUUCUCUUCUAAAUUCUGGUGCAUCCUCGCCUCCAUGGCGAAACCAGACAUGCCUUAUUUAGCACAUUGCUCACUCAAGUGCUAUUCGGUAGAGCAAGAUAGGAUGUACGAUGUCUGUUCUUUUGGGUUGAUGAACGCUUGAUAUAUAAGUUUUUUUGGAGCUUGAUGUUCUUGAGGGAUGUCUUGUUUCCUAUGCACGUGGUCUCUCUACCCAUUCACUUUUUCUGCAGUUCGUGUAUUUUUUGUUAACUGGAAAGCUGGAGACUGCUUGUGUCGAGUUUGAUGCCGUUUGCUGAGAUCACUGCCAGCCAGGAAGUUCGUUUUAGUUCGACUGUUGGCUGCCUGGGGAGCUUGGGUAGUGCAGAUAUCGAUGUGGAUAUUUAACAACUAGUUACGGAUACAUGUUACAUGCUGUUUCUGCGUUUUUCAUGUUCGCAUAUCAACACGUGGCUGCUAUUCCCAGCGCAGAAGGCAAGUGUUAUGAUUAUAUUUAUUCAUCAGGCGUUUCGUUGCACCAAGAGAAGUGAAUUCAUUAUGGAUUGCAGAAUACUCGUCAUCUUUGGAGCGAUGUGUGUCAUGAUGGCGGUAUUUUGUGAUGCUAAUACGGUCUUGUCAAUGUUUAGGGGCAAAGGUGCAACUAUGCAACAUCCCUGGUGCGAGCUCUUGAUCGCGUAAGUGUUGCUAGUGCCCUCCACCCCUAAAUGUUGGCAAGACCUAAUUGGCGCACAACAUUGGGACCGACGCUGGAUCAGCAGAAGUCAAAAGACACAAUUGUGAGAACGGAAGUUUGAAGUUGUAAAGCUGAAAAUUUUAGUUGACGUGGCCGAGGAGAUAGCGGACAUGGCUUGUUAACUUUCAUUUGUAGUUGAGGUGAAUGAGACUGCACCAAGUUUUCCGCAUGUACUAUGCAUGCCUAUUGGCUUCUUGGUAUCUUGAUGAUUUUAGUCCACGAGCUAUGUGAACAUUACUGCCUCGUUUCUACGCAACGUUUUCAGUUUUGUCCUAUCUGCUAGUCCCUGAAGUUAGUGAGUUUUGGAAUUUUACUGACUACCAAUCCACACCCACUGUAAAUAGCUCUUUAGAAUAUUAAUUUGAUAUUUUCUUCUUGUCUAAUAUUCAUCUAGUUUUCGUCUUGGCUUUCAAGUUAACUUGUUUGUUCCUCCAUUAUUGAAAAUGCUCCACUAUGUUUUGCUUACUCUACUGAUUGAGGUCACUGAUUCAGCCUUUGGAAGGUAAUGUUACGAAACUAUAGUUUGGAGAGUCAAUCUGUCACGGAUAAGACGAACAAGUGUUCGUCAUUUGCAUGUGUAGCUCAAAUAUAAUCCACAAGUUGGCUUGUAAUAAUGGCUUAUCUUCAUUGGUUGUUAGGCCUGACAUAGGUAAACAAUUCUCAUGGCUAGUUUUGUGUCGAGAGUUCUCAUCUGCGGCACUCUUUUACUUGAUCCUUUUCAGUUUUCUUGUGUCGAAGGAAAAUCUCACCCAUCUCUUCAUUGUAUGCUCUAGAAUCUGAUUCCAGCCUCACCCGGUCCAAAUUCUCACUAGUUACAAAUUCUUUUGACAGGUACAUGAUUCCCUGCAUGUGCAAAUGUUUUCUCUCAUAUAUAUAUAUAUAUAUAUAUAUAUCCAAAUAUGCAUAUACUUAUGUGAUAGAAACUGAAGAUAUUCGAAAUCUUUGAAGAUUUGGUGCAGGGUUGAAAGGGAGAGUCUGUUUAUAUUGCACUCAAAAAAUGUUUCCUGUGAAACAUUGGAUAAUCAGUUUUGGCUUGUUUUCAUGAAUUUGUUUUAUUCAGAGGCCUCAUUGGAAUAAUUUUUUACUUCUAAGAUAUCCUUGAAGCAAUAAGAUUAAUUUCCUUCCAUAAUUGAUGAUAUCAAUUUUAACAUUCCAUAAUUGAUGAUAUCAAUUAUGGAAUGUUAAAAUUUUAAAUAUUUUGUUAAAGCAUAUAUUUGAUAAAAAUGUAUCAUGGACAUACAUGGAAAUUCUAGUAAAUAUUUAUAUGAUUAGGUAGGAAUAAAUAAAAGUAAAUAAAAGUAUUUCAUAAGAUCUUUUAGAGUAGCUUCCUAGAAGCUUCAUAGUUGCUGCUUGACUUUACAUGUGUUUGUAGUUGAUUGGUAGGUUAGAAACUUCAUCAACAAGUUAACCAUGUGUUGAUAGUUUGUGGAACAAGCUAAAUAUGUGGUGCAUACAUAAACAACUUGCCUUGUAAGUUAAGACAUGUGGCUAGCAAAGUUAACACAUGUUGGAGAUCCUAUAGAAUAUCGCCACAUAGUUCCUAGUUAGAGAGUAUAUAUAGAGGCAAGAGUAAAGUCUUUUUCACUCUUGUCAAUGCCUUUUUAGUCUUUAGUCUUGUUUCAAGAUUUUCUAGUCUUCUUGUUUUUGGCAGUAGCCAUUCUAGUUUAAUAUUACAUCAUUUUUUGAGUGACUUUUUAGUUUUCUUCAAUGAUACAAGAAUGUAUUGAUGACUUUCUUUCUUUGAGAUUCAUGUCUUUGAUAUAAUGUUAUAUUUAUUAAAAUAUGAUAUUAUAUUAUCUCAAAUUUUACAAUACAUACAAAUCUUAUAUUUCAAACACACAUUUUUACUCCUAUAAUUACUGUCAUUAAUUUCUCAA